GCUCCCCGCUGUCGUCUGCGGCGGUUGCAGGGCGCCUCGCCAACAAGAAUACUUGCGCCGCUUCUCCUACAUCUGGUGCCAGCCGGCCACACCAUCAGGCAUCAGCUACUACUACUUGCGUCCGGCAAGCUCCGCAUCACUUCAUCCACGCAUCUGCUACUGGGUGGGAUUAUACGCUAAGAUCACUUGGUCAACAUAUCCUCCCUGCCCACCGGUGGAACGACCUCGACCGCUGUUGCUUCUGCGGCGGAUCCAGCGCGCCUCGCCACUAGCAUUGUUCCGGCCGCCCCCACUGCCCCGCAUCAGCUACUUGGUGGGCUUAGAUGGCAAGCUGCGUCAGUGUGCUUCCUUGCUGAUUUCAGUGGUACACAACCCUUGAUUGGCGCUGGCUACUGUAUUUUCCCGCGGUAUUCUUCAGCACCGCCCUAUUUCAACCAAUUUGGAUGAAGCAAUGCUGAUGACACUGGACAUGUAACCCAAUCUUUGGGAGGUGUCUCAACAACUUUGAAAUGCUGGGCUCCAAAAGACGGCGGCCGGGAAUAAGCUCCCCUAUUUGCAUUCUCCUGCGUUUGACGAGACGCCAAAUCACCCUAGACAUGGCACUGAAAUCUUGGCACAUCAGCAGGAGAGCCUCCAGCUGUUGUUUUACAGAGUCGAGGUAGUUGUGCCCUUUAUCCUUAUCUUAUCUUCAACAUUUUUACACACUCGUAGACUUCAGGGCAUUGAUUUCUUCUUGCCCUUGUUGUACAUGUCGACAACAUAGCUGAAAACUUCUCUUUUAAGUUCGUUCAUGUCUUGCAUAGCUUUCUCAUAUAAAGUGAAAAAAUGCAAAGCCCCCCCUAGAUAAUUCCUGUGGAUCAUUCAGAAAAAAGUUCCAGCGCCACUAUGAUGGCGAAGAGAGUCGGCUUCGUUGUAGCAUUGAACCGACAAAGGAGAACCAGUAUUCUUCCAUGAUUUGAGCGAAAUCAGGCCUUCACCUGAUUCUCUGGAGAAGUUCAGGCCCAUGUUAACCCAUCUGUAAAAAAAUUGCAAAAUUGCUUUGAAGCUCCACUUGUGCAUACUCUCCCAGAAACAAAGUUGCACUUUUGUAUAUAGCCGAAUACUUCAACCUAUUCGAGUGCCCACGUGCACGUAAUGUUUUUGCUUAUGAACGUGUGUUUUUAUUGGUGUCGUCGACCCAAACAUAUCCUGAAAUAUCUGUGGUCCUGCAGUGACGCUUGGCUUGUAUGCUACCUUCUGUAAUUCAACAUGGUUUAUGUCCACUGUGUACGAUUUUUUAUGUGGCUUCCCUUUAUGUGUAACAACAUAUUAUCUUCGGAAGUUAUCUGUUUUGCGUUGGAUCUCA